AAUUGCAAUAAAAAUAAUGGGAAGAAGCACAGGGCUGAAAGGCAACCUGAAAGAUUGCCUAGUUCUUCCUGCUCUCGGUUAAGGCCAGUUAUCUUUAUAAUAAUACUGUAUUCUGCUUUAAUGUUAUGUUUUCCUAAUAUGUUCUUGAAUACUUUCAGCAAUGAAAACACCAUGCCACAGCUUUGCCAUACAAUCUACUGCAGUAAUUCUCUGUUCUUACCGCUACCCUGUGUCUAACCUUGAAACAGAGCAUGCUGUAAAUCCUUCACUUGUUCCAUGGAUGCUUUGAAAUACAAGAGGUUCUGCACAUACAGCCCUCCCUUUUACACACAAAAAAUACUUAUGGAAGCAGGAAUUUAAACUAUACUCAUCUACGCAAGAGAAGCAGGUCCACCAGAUCAUCAGUAUUACAGAGUAUCAUUGAACCAUGCUGCAGUGCAAGACUGGGGCUGGGAACCUGACCCCUGCAUCAGGCAGCUGGCCUGGUUCAAGAAGGUUCUGCGCCGACGGGCUCCCACCGCAGGUCGCGUUUUGGCAGCACAGCUGUGGGGGCAUGGUGUGCCAGUGCACAGAGACCUGCAG